rnacentral:rRNA from 1 species
CACGUAGUUAGCCGGUGCUUAUUCUGCAGGUACCGUCAUCACCCCAGGGUAUUAGCCCAGAGCUUUUCGUUCCUGCCAAAAGCGGUUUACAACCCGAAGGCCUUCUUCCCGCACGCGGCAUUGCUGGAUCAGGCUUGCGCCCAUUGUCCAAAAUUCCCCACUGCUGCCUCCCGUAGGAGUCUGGGCCGUGUCUCAGUCCCAGUGUGGCUGGUCGUCCUCUCAGACCAGCUACGGAUCGUCGCCUUGGUAGGCCUUUACCCCACCAACUAGCUAAUCCGACAUCGGCCGCUCCGACCGCGCGAGGCCCGAAGGUCCCCCGCUUUCAUCCUCAGAUCGUAUGCGGUAUUAGCACAGCUUUCGCUGCGUUAUCCCCCACGACCGGGCACGUUCCGAUGCAUUACUCACCCGUUCGCCACUCGUCAGCACCCGAGGCCUGUUACCGUUCGACUUGCAUGUGUAAGGCAUGCCGCCAGCCGUUCAAUCUGAGCCAGGAUCAAACUCU